rnacentral:SRP_RNA from 1 species
AGGUAUGGUGGCACGUACCUAUAGUCCUGGCUACUGGGGGAAGCUAAGACUGAUGGAUCACUUCAACUUGGGAAUUCUGAGUUGCAGUAGGGCUAGUGUUGAUCAAUAUCCACAUUAAGUCUGGCACCAAUAUGAAGAGUCCCUGGGAAUAGGAGCCCACCAGGCUGCCUAAGGAGGGGUGAACCACUCCAGGUUGGAAAUGGAACAGUUCAUACCUUCCAUGCUGAUCAUCAGUGGAGUCAGGCCUGUGAGUUGCUAUUGUUUUUCCAGCCAAGAUAAGAGGAGACCCAAGUCCAUU